GUGGCAAGCGUUGUCCGGAUUUAUUGGGCGUAAAGCGAGCGCAGGCGGUUUUUUAAGUCUGAUGUGAAAGCCUUCGGCUCAACCGAAGAAGUGCAUCGGAAACUGGGAAACUUGAGUGCAGAAGAGGACAGUGGAACUCCAUGUGUAGCGGUGAAAUGCGUAGAUAUAUGGAAGAACACCAGUGGCGAAGGCGGCUGUCUGGUCUGUAACUGACGCUGAGGCUCGAAAGUAUGGGUAGCAAACAGGAUUAGAUACCCUGGUAGUCCAUACCGUAAACGAUGAAUGCUAAGUGUUGGAGGGUUUCCGCCCUUCAGUGCUGCAGCUAACGCAUUAAGCAUUCCGCCUGGGGAGUACGGCCGCAAGGCUGAAACUCAAAGGAAUUGACGGGGGCCCGCACAAGCGGUGGAGCAUGUGGUUUAAUUCGAAGCUACGCGAAGAACCUUACCAGGUCUUGACAUACUAUGCAAAUCUAAGAGAUUAGACGUUCCCUUCGGGGACAUGGAUACAGGUGGUGCAUGGUUGUCGUCAGCUCGUGUCGUGAGAUGUUGGGUUAAGUCCCGCAACGAGCGCAACCCUUAUUAUCAGUUGCCAGCAUUAAGUUGGGCACUCUGGUGAGACUGCCGGUGACAAACCGGAGGAAGGUGGGGAUGACGUCAAAUCAUCAUGCCCCUUAUGACCUGGGCUACACACGUGCUACAAUGGAUGGUACAACGAGUUGCGAACUCGCGAGAGUAAGCUAAUCUCUUAAAGCCAUUCUCAGUUCGGAUUGUAGGCUGCAACUCGCCUACAUGAAGUCGGAAUCGCUAGUAAUCGCGGA
rnacentral:rRNA from 2 species